UGGGGAAUAUUGGACAAUGGGCGCAAGCCUGAUCCAGCAAUGCCGCGUGUGUGAAGAAGGCCUUCGGGUUGUAAAGUACUUUUAUCAGGAGCGAAACGCUGUCGGCUAAUACCCGGCGGAACUGACGGUACCUGAGGAAUAAGCACCGGCUAACUUCGUGCCAGCAGCCGCGGUAAUACGAAGGGUGCAAGCGUUAAUCGGAAUUACUGGGCGUAAAGCGUGCGUAGGCGGUUUCUUAAGUCUGCUGUGAAAUCCCCGGGCUCAACCUGGGAAUGGCAGUGGAUACUGGGAGGCUAGAGUGUGUCAGAGGGUGGUGGAAUUCCCGGUGUAGCGGUGAAAUGCGUAGAGAUCGGGAGGAACAUCAGUGGCGAAGGCGGCCACCUGGGACAACACUGACGCUGAGGCACGAAAGCGUGGGGAGCAAACAGGAUUAGAUACCCUGGUAGUCCACGCCCUAAAGCGAUGCGAACUGGAUGUUGGUCUCAACUCGGAGAUCAGUGCCGAAGCUAACGCGUUAAGUUCGCCGCCUGGGGAGUACGGUCGCAAGACUGAAACUUAAAUGAAUUGACGGGGUCAUAGCUGUUU
rnacentral:rRNA from 1 species